UGGUCUUGUCCCAUUCUCACUUCUCACUCCCAUGAGAAUCUCUCUCAACUCUCUCCCUCUUCUCCGAGCAGCGUCUUGGAUUCUCUAUCUUACCUCUUCGGGUGGGUCUUUGGUUGUGGUGCAUUCAGCGUUUGACAAUCAUAAAGGUUCAAUUUCCGUGGGUCUUGGGUUGGGCGAUCUUGGUGAAUUUGGUUGAGGUUUCAGCCAAGCGCCAAGGUGGUGGUUCUGGUUCUUCGGCCGGUUUGGAGGACUGGGUCAUGCUCGUUUUGUCGCGACGGAGAAGCAAGAUAUUUGAAGUGGCUACAUUGAAAAGCUUCAUGGAUCCCUGUGGAUAACUUGAAGUCGAGAAUCCUGGUGCAAAUAGAGAAGUCCUCGCACAAUCCCCAAAACAAUGUCAAGACGCUUUGGCCAUGUCAGCAGUGCACUCCCAUUUUGUUCUGCAUAUACUUUUGCCCUUAUUACCAUGAUCAGUGAUUAUUUUCAGUUCUUUUGUGAACUUGUUUUGAAAAUCAUUUGGAGGACUCUAUUCAAAGACAUGAUAGUAGCCUAAGAGCGUGACAAGAUUCCUAUGUUGAAGUUUGGCAAUGAGAGCAACUUCAUUCUUGAACUCUUUGAGACCUUGUCUUGAAUCCUUUGACAGCCUCUUCACAGCAAUAUUUUGUCCGUUACAUAGAUGUCCCUGCAAAUCAUCACAUAAAGGACCAAAUCCACCUGCCCCAAUCACAUUUUCUUGAGAGAAGUUGUUUGUUGCAAUGGCAACCGUUGUAAAAUCAAAUAAAGGCAUAGGAAGACCGCUGAAUCGAACUCCAUUCCAUGGUCCAGUGCGAAAUAUUUUCAACGUUCCCCUUUUUAUAAAUAUUUGAGGCAACCCCUUGUAAUCAAAUUUGUAUGUAGAGUCUCCUGGAGAUGCAGUAUCUGAGUCUUU